rnacentral:rRNA from 1 species
GACGAACGCUGGCGGCGUGCUUAACACAUGCAAGUCGAACGGAAAGGCCCUGCUUUUGUGGGGUGCUCGAGUGGCGAACGGGUGUGUAACACGUGAGUAACCUGCCCUUGACUUUGGGAUAACUUCAGAAAACUGGGGCUAAUACCGGAUAGGAGCUCCUGCUGCAUGGUGGGGGUUGGAAAGUUUCGGCGGUUGGGGAUGGACUCGCGGCUUAUCCGCUUGUUGGUGGGGUAGUGGCUUACCAAGCCUUUGACGGGUAGCCGGCCUGAGAGGGUGACCGGCCACAUUGGGACUGAGAUACGGCCCAGACUCCUACGGGAGGCAGCAGUGGGGAAUAUUGCACAAUGGGCGGAAGCCUGAUGCAGCAACGCCGCGUGCGGGAUGACGGCCUUCGGGUUGUAAACCGCUUUCGCCUAUGACGAAGCGUGAGUGACGGUAAUGGGUAAAGAAGCACCGGCUAACUACGUG